GUAGGUGGCAAGCGUUGUCCGGAAUUAUUGGGCGUAAAGCGCGCGCAGGCGGUUCUUUAAGUCUGAUGUGAAAGCCCACGGCUCAACCGAGGAGGGUCAUUGGUAACUGGAGAACUUGAGUACAGAAGAGGAAAGCGGAAUUCCACGUGUAGCGGUGAAAUGCGUAGAGAUGUGGAGGAACACCAGUGGCGAAGGCGGCUUUCUGGUCUGUAACUGACGCUGAGGCGCGAAAGCGUGGGGAGCAAACAGGAUUAGAUACCCUGGUAGUCCACGCCGUAAACGAUGAGUGCUAAGUGUUAGGGGGUUUCCGCCCCCCUUAGUGCUGCAGCUAACGCAUUAAGCACUCCGCCUGGGAUACGGCCGCAAGGCUG
rnacentral:rRNA from 1 species